GCUUGUGUAGCACAGGGGUAGUGCAGCUCAUUCGUAAUGAGCAGGUCGUUGGUUCAAAUCCGAUCACAAGCU
rnacentral:tRNA from 1 species